UCUCACCCAGGCCACAGUACAGUGGCAUGAUCAUGCCUCACUGCAGCCUCCAAUUCCUGGGCUCAAGAGAUCCUCCCACCUCGGCCUCCUGAGUAUGAAGAACUACUCAUGUUUGGACAUAUGCACCAGUGAAUCGUAACAACAAACACAUGAGCUUGGAAGGGGAUCCUUUUCCAAAUGAGCCUUCAGUUGAGAGCCCAGCCCGGCCAUCAUCUAAUCUGGAUUCCUGGCCCAGGGAAACUGUUUGGAGUAAUUCACCACUGAAGUCUUCUCAACCUGGGCAAUCGUGAGCUUGGAAGAUGAUCCAUCCCCAUCUCAUCUUUCAGGUGAAACCUCAGCCUUGGCCAUCACAUACAUCUGGAUUUCUGACUCAGAGAAACUGUUUGGAAUAGUUCACCAGUGAAGUCAUCUCAACCAGCACAGGGCCUUGACUCCUAACAACAAUCACAUGAACUUGGAAGAGGAUCCUUCCCCAGCUGAGCCUUCACUUGAGACCUCGUCCUUGGCCAUCAUCUACAUCUGGAUUCAUGACACAGAGAAACUGCUUUGAAUAACUCACCAGUGAAGUCAUCUUGAUCUGGACAGAAAUUGAAUCCUUCCAAGAAUCCCAGGAGCUUGGAAGGGGAUCCUUCCCCAGAUGAGCCUUCCCUUGAAAUCUCUGCCAGACAUCUGACCCAGAGAAAGUGUAAGUACUAUUUAGGGCUGGGUCUGAAAGUCUAAAGUAUGUAGUAAUAUGUUAUACAACAAUCGGUCAGUUAUAUGCCUGACAGUAAAUGUAAUGUGGUAUCUUGGAUUAGAUCCUAGAAGAGAAAAAUGACAUUAGUGGAAAACCUGGCAAAAUAUGAAGAAAAUAUUUUUCAGUUAAUAGUUUUGUACCACUGUCAAUUUCUGAGUUUUCAUAAAUAUGCUAUGGUGAUAUAAGGUGUUAACAUUUCAGGAAGCUGUAGGAUAUAUGAAACACUAUUAUCUUUACUACUUUCUGUAAAACUAAAACUAUGAUAAAAUAAAAGUAUUUCUUAAAAUCUGAUAUUCAGGUACCAAAAAAUAAAACAACAAUAACAAAGACAGAUUUCAACCACAAUAAAACCACAGAUCAGAGGAUGAAUGGAGAUAUAGGGAGACUAUGGCAAAGUAGCUUGCCUUAUUAUCCCCCGUUCCUACACAGGGCACCUGCUUCAGAAAGAAACCAUCAAGCUCCAGGGACACUCAUCCAUUUUCUUCUUUCCCAUCACACUUCCCAUGACCCAGUUAUCAAUUCCUGUGUUCAUAACCACUUUUCCAAGGAAACACGCCUUUCUCACAUAUGUUAGAAGGCCCUGUAUUCAGGCACUUUCUGUCAGUGUCUUUGUAGGAUCUCACUAUAAAGACAUUUUAGAAGACAUGACUUCCAGACAUUAGAAGAGAAGAUUGAGAAACACCAGUGAUGGUGAACAUAAAUAUUUCCGCAUUAAGAGUGUUUUCUUAGUACAGGGAUUCCUUUUAUUCCCCAAGUUUUAAAAGAAAACGAUGCCUUAAGCCUUUGAGAAAACACUGUGAUCAUUCAGUUUUCCUCGUCAUGCAGACUCCAUCAUGAAUAUAUGGGACCACACAUUCUCUUGACACUCACAUCAUGGAUCUACAUUGUCCUGUGGUAUAUUAAUCUGUUCUCACGAUGCUAAUAAAGACAUAUCUAAGACUGGGUAAUUUAUAAAGGAAAGAUGUUUAAUUGGCUCACAGUUGCACAUGGUUGGGGAGGCCUCACAAUCAUGGCAGAAGGGAAAUGAGGAGCAAAGUCACAUCCUACAUAGUGGCAGACAAGAGAACUUGUGCAGGGGAACUCCCAUUUAUAAAACCAUCAAAUCUUGUGAGACUUGUUUACUACCAUGAGAAUAGUAUGGGGGAAACUGCCCCCAUGAUUCAGUUUUCACCACCUGGUCCUGCCCUUGACACAUGGGGAUUAUUACAAUUCAAGGUGAGACUUGGGUAGAGACAAAGCCAAACCAUUUCAAUAGACAUUAUCAUGGAAGAAGGUUAACUAGAUAUGAGGAAAGUUUAUAAUCAUGGAGUUGUAGGUUAAUUCCUUCUCAAAAAGACGUGGAAAUGAACCUUUAGACAUCAGAUGUAUGAAAGCGAGGCAUGUUAGUGAUACAGAGUGUGUUGUGCAGAGGUGGAAAUAGCCUAAUAGAAAAAAGGAAGGGACAGCACAGUACAACAUACCCCAGCUCACCAUGCAGUGAUAUAAGAGAUGGAUACAGGCCGAGUGCUGACUCUGCAUCUGUGCUGGUUAAACAAAGAUCCCCACAGCAGUGAGGACUGUUCCCUCUUCACCAACACAGCUCCCUGUACAGAGGAACACCAGGGAUGUUCCAGGAAUGAUGCCCUCAAAGCUUACUAAGCCAUGGGACUGCAUACUACACUCCCGAGGACAUCCAGAAAGUCAAGACUCUUGCUUUUUCAGACUGUGAUCAUGUGCUACAUUCUCCAUACCAUAUUCAUAGCUUCAGUGAGAAAACAGACCCCUGCAUCCUGGAGACCUAGAAUGAGAGACACAGCUGACCUUGACCAUAUUUCUCACUCUGAGUAGACUGUAGCAGUAAUUCAGGUGCUAUUACUUGGGGCAUUUAUAAUUCAGUAAACCUUCUUACCCCUCUAAUCUUACAAUUCACCCCAUAGGAAAGGACGGUUUCAUUUAAAUUGGCAAUCUUAAGUCAUGGAGGUUUGCUCUUUUUAUUUCAUUAUAAGAGGAGUUUCUAUAAGGUAAGUGGCUUGUACAAUCCCAUUUUCCUCUUCAUUUCAAUGCAUACAUGUGGUCUAUUAUGAUAUGUACUGUGAAGAUCAUCCAUGAGUAAAUUAUUCAGUAAAAAAAAAAAAAAAAUCAAGUGGCAGGCCAUGAAGGAGACAGAAGUAGAUGUGUAGAAGGACAGAGUCAUCUCUAGGUGGCAAGAGGGUGGAUGAGCUCUGUGUGCUCAGGGUUAAGACUGGAAAAGUGAUUAGACAUAAAACUCUGCUUCCAUGAUGUCCCAGGCACAGACGACACAGUGCUGAGCACUAAGCUCCCAAACAUUACCAUGAUAGCGUGGAAAAUAUGAUUUGUACUGAGUCUGGAUUGGCCACCAGAACUCUCAGAAAGAUGCCAUUGAAAACACCCCAUCAUCUGACCACAUCCUUAGGCAAGAACCCAACGCUGUCUCCACCCUCUAGUCUGAAUAGUGAAUAAAAUUUAAAGGGUGCAUGACUCCUAAACUUGAAAUUAGGGCUUCCUGUUCACUGAAUUGAGCCCUUGUAGAAGCUGAAACUCUCAUUGCAAAUAUGCUCAACAUUCUAAAUUAUACAUUACAUGAGUUUCUUCUUCAUUCAGUACACUCUUUGGGGAACACCAAAUCCUGUUUCAUUUUCUAAGUAUUGACAAGUGGA